rnacentral:tRNA from 1 species
GCGAACUUGGCGGAAUGGUAGACGCAGGAGACUUAAAAUCUCCAGCCCGUACGGGCGUGCGGGUUCGAGUCCCGCAGUUCGCACCA